CAGCCAUUCCACAUGUCCCUGUUACCAAAUCAAAGAUAAAGUCAUGGGGUGAUCUCGGGCCCAUGGCAAAACUAUGGGCCAGCAUGGAUGAACUACAGCUCCAAGAAAAAGGCGUUGUCAAGUACCCAACAACUGAACAUGUAAAAGCAUGGCCACGGUACUCUCUGGAAGAAGAAUUUGAAGAUCUGGUCAUAAAGCACGACUAUGAUCCAGAAACGCC